CGGGGCUCGAGAUCCCCUGCCUCAUCCUCUCCUGCCUCUGCACCCGACGAUGACGGCCAAGCCAAGUUGUUUGGGCAGCAGUAAGCAUGACGAGGAUGGAGACGAACCAGUGGUGACAGACGAGGAGGGCGGCAUACCACGAUGGUGGAUCUAGAGUGCUGGGAAGAGAAUGCCCAUGGUGUGCUUAUGGUGUGCUUACUGGUCCCAUGGUAUGGUGGCGUUGAGAAAUAUGUAUAUUUUCAUUGAGUAUGUCCGCACCAGAGUCCAAGACCACGGGUGAAAGAUCUGACAAAAAAGGGAGAACACCGAGAAGAGUGUGUUGAGGGAUAGAGGACGGCCGAGGAAUCAUCUAGCUUACUGAAGCAAAGGGAUGAUUCCUUGAAAAGUGCAACGGCAGUGCCUUAUGUUCAAGCAUUCCUAGCUACAUCGCUUCAGUUGGUCCAUAUGUUCACUAAAUGGGGAUGUCUCUUCAGAUUAAGCUUCUUCCUCCCCAUCGGCCAGGUGACAUUGUUGACUCCUCCCUCUUCACCGGCCAGGCCAACUCGCCGGCACCUCCCAUCUCACCGGCCCAGGAGAGAUCCCCUCCCUCAACGUCGCCGCGUCAUGUGCUCGCCGCCGUCCAUGAGCCGAUUCCGCGGUGCAGAUUUGCCUGAAGAGGUUGUCCUACUUCAGGGUAGUGAGCUGGGCAGAAUUUUGACGCUCAGUUGGCGCUGGAGGUUAUUCAGGCACCAUCCACAAAUUAAGUAAGAUAUAGCUCUCUUCACCGUAAUUUUGUCAAGGGGUCCGCAAUGAAAUGGACAAUUACGCCAAGAUAGGCACAUAAGAAGGUGGGGUUUGUGAUCCUCAAGAUCAGCGAUGGCGAUCGCGACGGUACAUCGACGAGCUUGAUGAGAUGGCGCAUUGACAAGCAAAAAGUCAUGGGGAUUCCCGCUGUUCGUGAGGGGUUGCGUGAUGCGGCUAUGGGGCGGCGGAGGUCCACACAUCGGACGUAUCUAGGCUGUGCGCACAGAUGGUGUUGAGGCUCCGUGACCUCUACAACCCGAGCAAAGACAGCAGCGGUUCGCCACUUCAGCUGUUACUCUACUCCAUCCACUAAAUUUUCUUCAGUUCAAUAUCUGCAUAUAUAUGGUGAUGAUUUUAGUGGGCCACAAGGUGUUGGCAAUCGUGGGUUCUGUAUUCUACAAAAUAUCAGCAGCUUGUUUAAUCUCCAGUUGCGGUGCUUUCAUGUUAUCAUGAAUUGUGGGAAAAUAGUAUAUUGUGUGUUCCUUCUUGCAUCCAGCUUGACUGUUUACUCUGGAAGGAGCAGUUCGUGGAGUGGGUCUGAAGCA